GACGAAACGCUGGCGGCGUGCUUAACCCAUGCAAGUCGAACGGAAAGGCCCUGCUUUUGUGGGGUGCUCGAGUGGCGACCGGGUGAGUAACACGUGAGUAACCUGCCCUUGACUUUGGGAUAACUUCAGGAAACUGGGGCUAAUCCCGGAUAGGGGCUCCUUCUGCAUGGGGGGGGUUGGAAAGUUUCGGCGGUUGGGGAUGGACUCGCGGCUUAUCAGCUUGUUGGUGGGGUAGUGGCUUACCAAGGCUUUGACGGGUAGCCGGCCUGAGAGGGUGACCGGCCACAUUGGGACUGAGAUACGGCCCAGACUCCUACGGGAGGCAGCAGUGGGGAAUAUUGCACAAUGGGCGGAAGCCUGAUGCAGCAACGCCGCGUGCGGGAUGACGGCCUUCGGGUUGUAGACCGCUUUCGCCUGUGACGAAGCGUGAGUGACGGUAAUGGGUAAAGAAGCACCGGCUAACUACGUG
rnacentral:rRNA from 1 species